UACGGGGGAAGCAAGCGUUAUCCGGAAUCACUGGGCGUAAAGCGCAAGUAGGCGGUUUUGCAAGUCACUGGUGAAAACCUAAGGCUCAACCGGAGAAAAGCCAGUGAGACUGCAUGUCUAGAGUCUGGGAGAGGUAGGAGGAAUUCCUAGAGUAGAGGUGAAAUGCGUAGAUAUCAUGUGGAACACCAGUGGCGAAGGCUGGUAACUAGCCCGGUACUGACGCUGAGGUGCGAAAGCGUGGGGAGCGAACGGG
rnacentral:rRNA from 1 species